rnacentral:tmRNA from 1 species
ACCUAUUGGACCCGGGGGCGGUACCCGGCGCCUCCACCAAAAUAUAAAUAACCAAAAUUAUAUUUUGGUGGGGGCGAAAUAGGAUCGACAAGGGUGUAAAGAUCGCUCUUUUACUCGGCAUUGUACCACCGUUAUCGGGCUAAAUGAGUAGUUGCAAAUGACAACUAUGCGGAAGCACGUCUCGCCGCCUAAGGUGGUGUGAAUGUUUCAAAUUGACUCUUAAACCGUCGCAGGUUUAAGCGGGGUUGGAAGG